CAGUGAAAUUGAACUCGCUGUGAAGAUGCAGUGUACCCGCGGCAAGACGGAAAGACCCCGUGAACCUUUACUAUAGCUUGACACUGAACAUUGAGCCUUGAUGUGUAGGAUAGGUGGGAGGCUUUGAAGUGUGGACGCCAGUCUGCAUGGAGCCGACCUUGAAAUACCACCCUUUAAUGUUUGAUGUUCUAACGUGGACCCGUGAUCCGGGUUGCGGACAGUGUCUGGUGGGUAGUUUGACUGGGGCGGUCUCCUCCUAAAGAGUAACGGAGGAGCACGAAGGUUGGCUAAUCCUGGUCGGACAUCAGGAGGUUAGUGCAAUGGCAUAAGCCAGCUUGACUGCGAGCGUGACGGCGCGAGCAGGUGCGAAAGCAGGUCAUAGUGAUCCGGUGGUUCUGAAUGGAAGGGCCAUCGCUCAACGGAUAAAAGGUACUCCGGGGAUAACAGGCUGAUACCGCCCAAGAGUUCAUAUCGACGGCGGUGUUUGGCACCUCGAUGUCGGCUCAUCACAUCCUGGGGCUGAAGUAGGUCCCAAGGGUAUGGCUGUUCGCCAUUUAAAGUGGUACGCGAGCUGGGUUUAGAACGUCGUGAGACAGUUCGGUCCCUAUCUGCCGUGGGCGCUGGAGAACUGAGGGGGGCUGCUCCUAGUACGAGAGGACCGGAGUGGACGCAUCACUGGUGUUCGGGUUGUCAUGCCAAUGGCACUGCCCGGUAGCUAAAUGCGGAAGAGAUAAGUGCUGAAAGCAUCUAAGCACGAAACUUGCCCCGAGAUGAGUUCUCC
rnacentral:rRNA from 1 species